rnacentral:rRNA from 1 species
GAUGAACGCUCGCGGCAGGCCUAAUACAUGCAAGUCGAACGAGAUUACGAGGCUUGCUUCUUAUGAACGUGGCGCACGGGUGCGUAACGCGUAUGCAACCUACCUUAAUCAGGGGGAUAGCCCGAAGAAAUUCGGAUUAAGACCGCAUAAAAACACAGGAUAGCAUUAUCCAAUGUUCAAAUAUUUAUAGGAUUAAGAUGGGCAUGCGUGUCAUUAGCUAGUUGGCGGGGUAACGGCCCACCCAGGCGACGAUGACUAGGGGAUCUGAGAGGAUGACCCCCCAGACUGGGACUGGGAAACGGACCAGACUCCUACGGGAGGCAGCAGUAAGGAAUAUUGGUCAAUGGAGGGAACUCUGAACCAGCCAUGCCGGGUGCAGGAAGACAGCCCUCUGGGUCGUAAACUGCUUUUAGUCGGGAAUAAACCUUUCUACGUGUAGGAGGCUGAAGGUACCGAAGGAAUAAGGAUCGGCUAACUCCGUG